rnacentral:tRNA from 1 species
GCCGGGGUGGCGGAACAGGUAGACGCAAGGGACUUAAAAUCCCUCGGAUAUAUUUAUCCGUGCCGGUUCGAUUCCGGCCCUCGGCA